CAGGGAAUCUUGGGCAAUGGGGGCAACCCUGACCCAGCCACGCCGCGUGAGGGAUGAAGGCCUUCGGGUCGUAAACCUCUGUCGGGAGGGAAGAAAGGUCUCCACUCGAACAGGUUGGGGGCUUGACGGUACCUCCAAAGGAAGCGCCGGCUAACUCCGUGCCAGCAGCCGCGGUAAUACGGAGGGCGCAAGCGUUGUUCGGAAUCACUGGGCGUAAAGCGCGUGUAGGCGGCUUGGCAAGUCGGGUGUGAAAUCCCGGGGCUCAACCCCGGAACUGCACCCGAAACUGCCUCGCUCGAGUCCCGGAGAGGGUGGCGGAAUUUCCGGUGUAGAGGUGAAAUUCGUAGAUAUCGGAAGGAACACCAGUGGCGAAGGCGGCCACCUGGACGGUGACUGACGCUGAGACGCGAAAGCGUGGGGAGCAA
rnacentral:rRNA from 1 species